AGGACGAACGCUGGCGGCGUGCUUAACACAUGCAAGUCGAACGGAAAGGCCCUUCGGGGUACUCGAGCGGCGAACGGGUGAGUAACACGUGAGUAAUCUGCCCCUAGCUCUGGGAUAGCUCCGGGAAACCGGGAUUAAUACCGGAUACGACCACCUUAGACAUCUUUUGUGGUGGAAAGAAUUUCGGCUAGGGAUGAGCUCGCGGCCUAUCAGCUUGUUGGUGGGGUAAUGGCCUACCAAGGCGACGACGGGUA
rnacentral:rRNA from 1 species